CUGAAUUGAAUAGAUUUAGGAAUAUUAAAUAUUAUUUGAAAUGUGGAAUUGUGCUAAUGUUGUAAUGAACUAUGCUGUUAUAUAUGGGAACUAUGGAUUGGCUGAUUGAGAUUAUUAUAUGGAAAUGAAGAAUUGGUUAAAAAAUGAAUGUGAGAAAUUGUUACCCUAUUAACUGUUCGGGCAGGGUCGAGUGUAGUUGGCAUGCC
rnacentral:lncRNA from 1 species